rnacentral:rRNA from 1 species
UGGGGAAUAUUGCACAAUGGGCGAAAGCCUGAUGCAGCAACGCCGCGUGAGUGAUGAAGGCCUUCGGGUUGUAAAGCUCUGUCUUUUGGGACGAUAAUGACGGUACCAAAGGAGGAAGCCACGGCUAACUACGUGCCAGCAGCCGCGGUAAUACGUAGGUGGCAAGCGUUGUCCGGAUUUACUGGGCGUAAAGGAUGCGUAGGCGGAUUUUUAAGUGAGAUGUGAAAACCCUAAGCUUAACUUGGGGACUGCAUUUCAUACUGGAAAUCUAGAGUGCGGGAGAGGAGAAUGGAAUUCCUAGUGUAGCGGUGAAAUGCGUAGAGAUUAGGAAGAACACCAGUGGCGAAGGCGAUUCUCUGGACCGUAACUGACGCUGAGGCAUGAAAAGCGUGGGUAGCAAAACAGGAUUAGAUACCCCUGGUAGUCCACGCCGUAAACGAUGAGUACUAGGUGUAGGAGGUAUCGACCCCUUCUGUGCCGCAGUUAACACAAUAAGUACUCCGCCUGGGAAGUACGAUCGCAAGAUUAAAAACUC